GUGGGGAAUUUUGGACAAUGGGGGCAACCCUGAUCCAGCCAUUCCGCGUGAGUGAAGAAGGCCUUCGGGUUGUAAAGCUCUUUCGUCAGGAACGAAACGGCGGGCUCUAACAUAGCCUGUUAAUGACGGUACCUGAAGAAGAAGCACCGGCUAACUACGUGCCAGCAGCCGCGGUAAUACGUAGGGUGCGAGCGUUAAUCGGAAUUACUGGACGUAAAGCGUGCGCAGGCGGAUUGUUAAGCAAGACGUGAAAUCCCCGGGCUUAACCUGGGAAUGGCGUUUUGAACUGGCAGUCUAGAGUGCGUCAGAGGGGGGUGGAAUUCCACGUGUAGCAGUGAAAUGCGUAGAGAUGUGGAGGAACACCGAUGGCGAAGGCAGCCCCCUGGGAUGACACUGACGCUCAUGUACGAAAGCGUGGGUAGCAAACAGGAUUAGAAACCCGGGUAGUCC
rnacentral:rRNA from 1 species